rnacentral:rRNA from 1 species
CCGUUACCCCACCAACUAGCUAAUACAACGCAGGUCCAUCUCAUAGUGAAGCAGUUGCUCCUUUCAAGCAUUUACCAUGCGAUAAAUACUGUUAUGCGGUAUUAGCUAUCGUUUCCAAUAGUUAUCCCCCGCUAUGAGGUAGGUUACCUACGCGUUACUCACCCGUUCGCGACUCAUGAUUAAUGGUGGAGCAAGCUCCGGUAUCAAUCAUGCGUUCCACUUGCAUGUAUUAGGCACGCCGCCAGCGUUCGUCCUGAGCCAUGAUCAACUC